rnacentral:rRNA from 1 species
UGGGGAAUAUUGCACAAUGGGCGCAAGCCUGAUGCAGCCAUGCCGCGUGUGUGAAGAAGGCCUUCGGGUUGUAAAGCACUUUCAGCGAGGAGGAAGGUGGUGAGCUUAAUACGCUCAUCAAUUGACGUUACCCGCAGAAGAAGCACCGGCUAACUCCGUGCCAGCAGCCGCGGUAAUACGGAGGGUGCAAGCGUUAAUCGGAAUUACUGGGCGUAAAGCGCACGCAGGCGGUUUGUUAAGUCAGAUGUGAAAUCCCGGGCUCAACCUGGGAACUGCAUUUGAAACUGGCAAGCUAGAGUCUCGUAGAGGGGGGUAGAAUUCCAGGUGUAGCGGUGAAAUGCGUAGAGAUCUGGAGGAAUACCGGUGGCGAAGGCGGCCCCCCUGGACGAAGACUGACGCUCAGGUGCGAAAGCGUGGGGCAGCAAACAGGAUUAGAUACCCUGGUAGUCCACGCUGUAAACGAUGUCGAUUUGGAGGUUGUG